UAAUGUACUUGGAGUGCUCCAUGAACUUAAUGUGUCAUCCUGUUUAAAACACUGGGCUCAUUGUCAAAGCUUUAUAAAUCUGUGUUAACAUUUUGGGGAGUUGAGAAGAGAGAUGCCCUUUUGCUGAUAUGAGUCCUAAUAGGACCAGUAUGUAAUGUUCUGACCAUGGUAUAGCACCCAUGUGUGUGCAGAAGAUAAAGUAAAGUUCACAGACUGACAACCGGCCAAUUUCUUAAGGCAGGACUGAGGGAUUGGUGGGGAAGACCAGACAGGACAAGAAAGACCAGCAAAGCAAGAAAAUGCUGUAGUGAAGAGUGAAAACCUACUUUCAGAAAGAUGUGUUAAAGAAAAAGGUAGUGGACUUUUCAAAACCAGGUGGUGUCCCAUCGAAAUCCUAACCAAGUCUAACCCCAAUGACCUCUUCUGAGAUCAGCUAAUGUUAACUUCUUAAUAAGAAUCAGUCCAUCUUUUGGGAGCCCUUGGAUUCAGCUUUGUUCCCCAGUCCCAUCUCCUUGAGCACUCAGUUGAAUGAAGUUAUCUCUGCAACGGCUCUCGGCAAAAACCCACCAUCUGCUCCUGUCAAUUAAUCACAUCAGGGCUUCUUCCCCAACGCACAAUCACCGGAAGUUUCAUUGUUCUGCAGCCAGCCCCAGAUGAAUACAUGGCUGUCUCCACCAAGGCCAGAUACACUUUAUUGAAAUUUCUUAUAGAAGUGACAGUGAUAGAUGACAGCAGCCCAUUCAAGCCAAUCAUUGCAGGCCUUCCAUAGAACAGGCGAGCAAGCUCAACUUGAUGCUUUCCAGACAUUUCAGACUGCAAGUGUCAGGUUAUUGGCCAGGAGGGCUAAGUCUUAUGGGAGCUGUAGUCCACAACAACUGGGGACUCCCAGAUGACUCUUCUUCUGGAGCAGUGUGAGGAGCCACUGUGGAAGUGCUUUGAAGCUGCACAUGGUAAACAUAUUCUAAUUUCUCCCAAAGCAUUUAAGACACUUCCCACCUUGAAUCCAUAUAACGUUUGGAGUAACAUUAUGCCGAAAUAAAUCUAGCAGUUCCUGAAUGUUUUCCUCCCCUGAAAGAG